AUGAGCUUCAUCCAGGAAUUCUGAGUCAGGUCACAUAACACCCCGCAAACGCCUUCGGACCUGUUUCAUCGUCGUCUUCCCUACGCUACUCUCAGGACUAGACUUCACACGAGUUUAAUCACAAUGAGAAAGAAACGAUGAAGACAACAAUAAACGUAUUCUCGUCCAAGUGAAAAAGAACUCACCGUCGGCACCAGAUUGGGUGGUAUACGCGGGUGAUCGAGAGAUUCGACGAGCAAUUCAACUUCGCUUCUCCGAUGCGCUUCUGCUUGCGAUUGUCUUCAUUCUUCAAUGCCUUGUCCGUUCGUUCCGACGCUGCUUCUGGAGAGGGAUAUGCUCCGCUGUGUUGAAGAUGAAGGAUAUAGGGUCGAAAGAUGAUGAUGGAUGAAGAAGAUUUUGCUUUUUCUUUCGAACAAGUUGUUGGAAGGAUAUUGAGACCUCUAUUGUGGAGGUGGAACAACUUUACCCUAUUCCUCUGCAACAGCUUCUGGGGCUGUCCACUUGGCAGCAGGAACUGCUGGAACAGGCGGUGGAGCUGCAUCAGUCCAUGGUGGCUAAAUGGCGGUAAACCACUGACCAUCAAAUGGAACAAUCGCAUUGAAGUCGGCGAAGGGUGAAAUCUGGAACAGGAACUUCAUCCUCCUCUCUCCUUGGCCUUUUCUGGUUUUCUGUAGAAGAAAAGAUCCACUAAGCUCACCAUAUUUUACAAGGGCUAUUGUGUUUUGGCUUAACCAAGCCAUUAUCUUCAUCGGAAGAGAUAGUGCUUGCAUUAACUGAAAAUUCAAGACUCUUCCAUUUAGUUGCUAACUUCAUCUCCUCAGGUUCCGAUAGAAGGUUUGAUUGAGGCGAUUUAGUUUGAAGGGUGGUUGCCAGUUCGGUUUAUGAGAGUGUCGGAAGCGUGUUUCGGUUCAGGAUUGAAGUUAGGAGUUGUUAUGGAUUUGUUGUUGGUUUACUGAUGUUCUGAAUGCUUGGAUUACUUUAAGUUUCCUUUGGAACUGUUGUAAUGUCACGCAGAAUUUUGGAAGUUUAAAAUAUAUUUUGUAUUAGAAAUUGAUUAUGAAAAACUUGGUUUUGUUAAAGAUGAAUUAGUUUUGGUUA